UACGGAGGGUGCAAGCGUUGUCCGGAAUCACUGGGCGUAAAGGGCGCGUAGGCGGCUCAUGAAGGCUGUGGUGAAAGUCCGGGGCUCAACCUCGGAUCGGCCGUGGCGACUCGUGGGCUGGAGCACUGUAGAGGCGGGUGGAAUUCCGGGUGUAGCGGUGGAAUGCGUAGAGAUCCGGAAGAACACCAGUGGCGAAGGCGGCCCGCUGGGCAGCUGGCUGACGCUGAGGCGCGGACAG
rnacentral:rRNA from 1 species